UGCUCUUAGUCGUGUUAAAAAUUUAUAUGAUCUAGCUUUACCUGAUUUAGCAAUAAAUAAAGUACUCAAUAAACCGCACGACGAAAAAGCAUUAGCGGAAAUGGAAAGACUAAGGCGGCUCUUGUUAAUACAGAGAAACACUCCAAAUCAUCUCCCAGCGAAUGAAACACUUGGAAACAACUGAAGUACACUUUACCCUUAAUCAUCGAGAUAUUGAGAACGCCCACAUUCAAUUCACCAGCGAUUCAUUACAAGCAAGUCAGACCACCAAGAUAACCUGAUACAGCAUGUGGAAGACCCCACCCCGGUUAAUAAACAAUAAGAAAAAAAUAGGAAUUUGGCAAUAACAAUAGUUAUAAACAAUAUGAGAGAAAUAGAAAUUUUGCAAUAACAAUAAUUAUAAACAAAAACAAAAA